rnacentral:rRNA from 1 species
GGGCUUAACCUUGAAAUUGCAGUUGAUACUGGAGACCUUGAGUGCAGUAGAGGUGGGCGGAAUUCGUGGUGUAGCGGUGAAAUGCUUAGAUAUCACGAAGAACUCCGAUUGCGAAGGCAGCUCACUGGACUGUAACUGACACUGAUGCUCGAAAGUGUGGGUAUCAA